AUUGAACGCUGGCGGCAUGCCUUACACAUGCAAGUCGCACGGCAGCACGGGAGCAAUCCUGGUGGCGAGUGGCGACCGGGUGAGUAAUAUAUCGGAACGUGCCCAGUCGUGGGGGAUAACGCAGCGAAAGCUGUGCUAAUACCGCCUACGAUCUAUGGAUGCAACCGGGGGAUCGGCAGACCUCGCGCGAUUGUAUCGGCCGAUAUCGGAUUAGCUAGUUGGUGGGGUAAAGGACCACCAAGGCGACGAUCUGUAGCUGGUCUGAGAGGACGACCAGCCACACUGGAACUGAGACACGGUCCAGACUCCUACGGGAGGCAGCAGUGGGGAAUUUUGGACAAUGGGCGCAAGCCUGAUCCAGCAAUGCCGCGUGCAGGAUGAAGGCCUUCGGGUUGUAAACUGCUUUUGUACGGAACGAAACGGCCCUUUCUAAUACAGGGGGCUAAUGACGGUACCGUAAGAAUAAGCACCGGCUAACUACGUGCCAGCCGCCGCAGUAA
rnacentral:rRNA from 1 species